rnacentral:rRNA from 1 species
CGCACGGGUGAGUAACACGUAUGCAAUCCACCUGUAACAGGGGGAUAACCCGGAGAAAUCCGGACUAAUACCCCAUAAUAUGGGCGCUCCGCAUGGAGAGCCCAUUAAAGAGAGCAAUUUUGGUUACAGACGAGCAUGCGCUCCAUUAGCCAGUUGGCGGGGUAACGGCCCACCAAGCCUUCGAUGGAUAGGGGUUCUGAGAGGAAGGUCCCCCACAUUGGAACUGAGACACGGUCCAA